CACAGUGUCCCAUAGUAGUUAGGGUGCCGUGCGGCCAGUACAGCUCACACAAGCAAACAGCUGAUAAACUGGCCGCACGGAGGAAAUGUGUGUGUGUGUGACUGUCUGCCUGUAACUGAGUGUGUGACUGUCUGUCUGUAACUGAGUGUGUGACUGUCUGCCUGUAAAUGUGUGUGUGGGGCUGCAGGGAUUUUGUAGAAG